rnacentral:rRNA from 1 species
UCGUCACACGGGACUGCCGGUCUUAAGCCGGAGGAAGUGGGGAUGAUGUCAAGUCAGCAUGGCCUUUAUAUCCUGGGCUACACACACGCUACAAUGGCCAACACAAUAGGGUUGCUAAGCCGCGAGGUGGCGCCAAUCCAUAAAGUUGGUCUCAGUUCAGAUUGUAGGCUGGCAACCCGCCUGCAUGAAGAUGGAGUUGCUAGUAACCGCAGGUCAGCUAUACUGCGGUGAAUACGUUCCCGGGGCUU